AUACGGAGGGUGCAAGCGUUAAUCGGAAUUACUGGGCGUAAAGCGCACGCAGGCGGUUUGUUAAGUCAGAUGUGAAAUCCCCGGGCUCAACCUGGGAACUGCAUCUGAUACUGGCAAGCUUGAGUCUCGUAGAGGGGGGUAGAAUUCCAGGUGUAGCGGUGAAAUGCGUAGAGAUCUGGAGGAAUACCGGUGGCGAAGGCGGCCCCCUGGACGAAGACUGACGCUCAGUUGCGAAAGCGUGGGGAGCAAACAGGAUUAGAUACCCUGGUAGUCCACGCCGUAAACGAUGUCGACUUGGAGGUUGUGCCCUUGAGGCGUGGCUUCCGGAGCUAACGCGUUAAGUCGACCGCCUGGGGAGUACGGCCGCAAGGUUAAAACUCAAAUGAAUUGACGGGG
rnacentral:rRNA from 1 species